CCUACGGGUGGCAGCAGUGAGGAAUAUUGGUCAAUGGGCGCAAGCCUGAACCAGCCACGUAGCGUGAAGGAUGACUGCCCUACGGGUUGUAAACUUCUUUUAUAAAGGAAUAAAGUGAGGCACGUGUGCCUUUUUGUAUGUACUUUAUGAAUAAGGCUCGGCUAACUCCGUGCCAGCAGCCGCGGUAAUACGGAGGAUCCGAGCGUUAUCCGGAUUUAUUGGGUGUAAAGGGAGCGUAGAUGGGUUGGUAAGUCAGUUGUGAAAGUUUGCGGCUCAACCGUAAAAUUGCAAUUGAUACUGGCAGCCUUGAGUACAGUUGAGGUAGGCGGAAUUCGUGGUGUAGCGGUGAAAUGCGUAGAUAUCACGAAGAACUCCGAUUGCGAAGGCAGACUACUAAACUGCCACUGACAUUGAGGCUCGAAAGUGUGGGUAGCAAACAGGAUUAGAUACCCGAGUAGUC
rnacentral:rRNA from 1 species